rnacentral:rRNA from 1 species
UACCAGCUCUCCGAGUGGUAGGGAUGAUUAUUGGGCUUAAAGCGUCCGUAGCCGGCUUAGCAAGUCUCCUGUUAAAUUCAGCGACCUAAUCGUUGAGCCGCGGGAGAUACUACUAGGCUAGGAGGCGGGAGAGGUCGACGGUACUUCUGGGGUAGGGGUGAAAUCCUAUAAUCCCGGGAGGACCACCAGUGGCGAAGGCUGUCGACUAGAACGCGCUCGACGGUGAGGGACGAAAGCUGGGGGAGCGAACCGGAUUAGAUACCCGGGUAGUCCCAGCUGUAAACGAUGCGAGCUAGGUGUUGGGGUGGCUACGUGCCACUUCAGUGCCGCAGGGAAGCCAUUAAGCUCGCCGCCUGGGGAUACGGCCGCAAGGCUGAAACUUAAAGGAAUUGGCGGGGAGCACCACAAGGCGUGAAGCUUGCGGUUC